GUGUGUGGUGUGGUAGUGUGUGGUGUGGUGGUAUGGUGGUGUGUGGUGUGUUGGUGUGUAGAGUGGUGUGGUGUGGUGUGUCUUUGCACAAAUGGGUCUGUGGUGAAUCCCUAUAGUCUGCCUAGGUGAUUCCAUUGCCCUCCGGAAUCGGUCCUGCAAGUGCAGUCGGUGCAGGUGGCGAUCUUGACGUGCCGUUGUAACCCUCAGUCGGUCAGUGCGUGGAUGAUCAUCCGUGCUGUUUGUGACAUUGUAUGUUUCCUCAGCCGCUCAAUUGUCCGAAUACCUCAGUUCAAGUCAUUAGCAAUGACCCGUGGACGUUGAUCAGCCUAUCGCGUCCGAGCCAGUCGGUUGGCGAACGCUUCUUAGAGGGACAGGCGGUAGAAAGCUGCACGUGGCGGAGUGAUAACAGGUCUGUGAUGCCCUUGGAUGUCCGGGGCCACAUGCGCGCUACACUGGAGGUAUCAGCGGGCGCAUUUUCCCCGGCCCGAGAGGGUCGGGAAACCUCUGAACCACCUCCCGUGAUAGGGAUCGGGGCCUGGAAGCAACCCCGUGAACAAGAAAUUCCCGGUAGGCGCGGGUCAUCAGCCCGCGUCGAUCACGUCCCUGCCCUUUGUACACACCGCCCGUCGCUACUACCGAUCGAACGGUCCAGUGAGGACCUCAGAUCUAGCCGACGAGUCCGCUUACGCGCGGCGGCGUUCCGCGCCGUCGUCGGCGCGUUCUUUGAUGGCCCGCAGAAGACGACCGAACCCGAUUGUGCAUCAUGUUUUUAUAAAGAUGCGUUCACGAACAUUACUAUGUUCACGAAAAGUAAACGAGUUCGAACCCUACAUGCAAUUCUUGUGUUUUCA
rnacentral:ncRNA from 1 species